UACGGAAGGGGCAAGCGUUGUUCGGAAUCAUUGGGCGUAAAGGGCGUGUAGGUGGUUCUGUAUGUCUACCGUGAAAGCGUACGGCUCAACCGUAUUUAGUCGGUAGAAACUGCAGGACUUGAGGCUGGGAGGGGCUGGUGGAAUUCCCCGUGUAGCGGUGAAAUGCGUAGAGAUGAGGGAGAACACUCGUGGCGAAGGCGGCCAGCUAGACCAGUUCUGACACUGAGGCGCGAUAGCGUGGGGAGCAAACAGG
rnacentral:rRNA from 1 species